GCUGGCGGCAGGCCUAACACAUGCAAGUCGAGCGCGCCUUCGGGUGAGCGGCGGACGGGUUAGUAACGCGUGGGAACGUGCCCUUCUCUACGGAAUAGCCUCUGGAAACGGAGAGUAAUACCGUAUACGCCCUUUGGGGGAAAGAUUUAUCGGAGAAGGAUCGGCCCGCGUUAGAUUAGGUAGUUGGUGGGGUAACGGCCUACCAAGCCUACGAUCUAUAGCUGGUUUUAGAGGAUGAUCAGCAACACUGGGACUGAGACACGGCCCAGACUCCUACGGGAGGCAGCAGUGGGGAAUCUUAGACAAUGGGGGCAACCCUGAUCUAGCCAUGCCGCGUGAGUGAUGAAGGCCUUAAGGUCGUAAAGCUCUUUCGCCUGUGAUGAUAAUGACAGUAGCAGGUAAAGAAACCCCGGCUAACUCCGUGCCA
rnacentral:rRNA from 1 species